CACACUGAGACAGGGGACACAUUGAGACAGAGGACACACAGAGACAAGGUUCACACAGAGACAGGGUACACACGGAGACAGGGUACACACGGAGACAGGACAGGGGACACACAGAGAACGCGGGCUACGAGAAAUUUUCA
rnacentral:lncRNA from 1 species